UAAAUGGGGGGUAAAAUCCACCUAAUGCUAAAUAUAAGCGAGAGCCGAUAGCGACCAAGUACCGUGAGGGAAAGAGGAAAAGAACUUUGAAAAGAGAGUUAAAUAGUCCGUGAAAUUGUUGAAAGGGAAACGAUUGAAGUCAGUCAUGCCGGUGAGAAUCAACUUNNGGGAAGGGGGAUUUUUUUGAACCUAACCUUGAAGUCCACUUCUUCCCUUGCCAGGUUAGCGUCGAUUUUGACCGUCAUAAAAUGAUUGGGGGAAGGUAGCUCUUUCGGGAGUGUUAUAGCCCUUAAUUAAUGUGAUAUUNGGGAUCGAGGAUUGCCAACCGGAUACCUUUUUAGGCUAGCCGCCUGGCCUCUGAUUCGAUGUCGGGUUAUAGACAGCACGCUGACUAUGAUCUGAUUAUUGGUCAAAAGGUUAGAGCGAGCAUAAAUUCGUAAGGACGCGAC
rnacentral:rRNA from 1 species